AUCUAAUACUAGUAGGAAAAACAAAAGUUAGCACGAAACAUAUAGAAAUAUACUUCUUUAUUUUUCAGCAAUACUGUAGAAAAUAAAUUGUAAUUGACUUAUGGAACAUGUAGAAAUUAAGUUAUAUCACAUGUGACAACAAAUAUGAUUUUUUUUUUAUCGUAUUUUUCAACUGCAGCAGAUCGAUACCAUAAUCUCCCACAAUCCUAAACGAAGCCGUAGUUUAAUAUUGAACAAUAAUUUUCCAAAACUUGGUAAUU
rnacentral:lncRNA from 1 species